rnacentral:rRNA from 1 species
GGGUUGUGAGGUUAAGCGACUAAGCGUACACGGUGGAUGCCCUGGCAGUCAGAGGCGAUGAAGGACGUGCUAAUCUGCGAAAAGCGUCGGUAAGGUGAUAUGAACCGUUAUAACCGGCGAUGUCCGAAUGGGGAAACCCAGUGCAAUUCGUUGCACUAUCGUUAACUGAAUACAUAGGUUAACGAGGCGAACCGGGGGAACUGAAACAUCUAAGUACCCCGAGGAAAAGAAAUCAACCGAGAUUCCCCCAGUAGCGGCGAGCGAACGGGGAGCAGCCCAGAGUCUGAAUCAGCUUGUGUGUUAGUGGAACGGUCUGGAAAGUCCGACGGUACAGGGUGAUAGUCCCGUACACCAAAAUGCACAGGUUGUGAACUCGAAGAGUAGGGCGGGACACGUGGUAUCCUGUCUGAAUAUGGGGGGACCAUCCUCCAAGGCUAAAUACUCCUGACUGACCGAUAGUGAACCAGUACCGUGAGGGAAAGGCGAAAAGAACCCCGGCGAGGGGAGUGAAAAAGAACCUGAAACCGUGUACGUACAAGCAGUGGGAGCACCUUCGGGUGUGACUGCGUACCUUUUGUAUAAUGGGUCAGCGACUUAUAUUCUGUAGCAAGGUUAACCGUAUAGGGGAGCCGCAGGGAAACCGAGUCUUAACUGGGCGUUAAGUUGCAGGGUAUAGACCCGAAACCCGGUGAUCUAGCCAUGGGCAGGUUGAAGGUUGGGUAACACUAACUGGAGGACCGAACCGACUAAUGUUGAAAAAUUAGCGGAUGACUUGUGGCUGGGGGUGAAAGGCCAAUCAAACCGGGAGAUAGCUGGUUCUCCCCGAAAGCUAUUUAGGUAGCGCCUCGUGAACUCAUCUUCGGGGGUAGAGCACUGUUUCGGCUAGGGGGUCAUCCCGACUUACCAACCCGAUGCAAACUACGAAUACCGAAGAAUGUUAUCACGGGAGACACACGGCGGGUGCUAACGUCCGUCGUGAAGAGGGAAACAACCCAGACCGCCAGCUAAGGUCCCAAAGUCAUGGUUAAGUGGGAAACGAUGUGGGAAGGCACAGACAGCCAGGAUGUUGGCUUAGAAGCAGCCAUCAUUUAAAGAAAGCGUAAUAGCUCACUGGUCGAGUCGGCCUGCGCGGAAGAUGUAACGGGGCUAAACCAUGCACCGAAGCUGCGGCAGCGACACUAUGUGUUGUUGGGUAGGGGAGCGUUCUGUAAGCCUGCGAAGGUGUGCUGUGAGGCAUGCUGGAGGUAUCAGAAGUGCGAAUGCUGACAUAAGUAACGAUAAAGCGGGUGAAAAGCCCGCUCGCCGGAAGACCAAGGGUUCCUGUCCAACGUUAAUCGGGGCAGGGUGAGUCGACCCCUAAGGCGAGGCCGAAAGGCGUAGUCGAUGGGAAACAGGUUAAUAUUCCUGUACUUGGUGUUACUGCGAAGGGGGGACGGAGAAGGCUAUGUUAGCCGGGCGACGGUUGUCCCGGUUUAAGCAUGUAGGCUGGUUGUCCAGGCAAAUCCGGAUAAUCAAGGCUGAGGUGUGAUGACGAGGCACUACGGUGCUGAAGUAACAAAUGCCCUGCUUCCAGGAAAAGCCUCUAAGCAUCAGGUAACAUCAAAUCGUACCCCAAACCGACACAGGUGGUCAGGUAGAGAAUACCAAGGCGCUUGAGAGAACUCGGGUGAAGGAACUAGGCAAAAUGGUGCCGUAACUUCGGGAGAAGGCACGCUGGUGUGUAGGUGAAGUCCCUGCGGAUGGAGCUGAGACCAGUCGAAGAUACCAGCUGGCUGCAACUGUUUAUUAAAAACACAGCACUGUGCAAACACGAAAGUGGACGUAUACGGUGUGACGCCUGCCCGGUGCCGGAAGGUUAAUUGAUGGGGUUAUCCGUAAGGAGAAGCUCUUGAUCGAAGCCCCGGUAAACGGCGGCCGUAACUAUAACGGUCCUAAGGUAGCGAAAUUCCUUGUCGGGUAAGUUCCGACCUGCACGAAUGGCGUAAUGAUGGCCAGGCUGUCUCCACCCGAGACUCAGUGAAAUUGAACUCGCUGUGAAGAUGCAGUGUACCCGCGGCAAGACGGAAAGACCCCGUGAACCUUUACUAUAGCUUGACACUGAACAUUGAGCCUUGAUGUGUAGGAUAGGUGGGAGGCUUUGAAGCGUGGACGCCAGUCUGCGUGGAGCCAACCUUGAAAUACCACCCUUUAAUGUUUGAUGUUCUAACGUUGGCCCCUGACCGGGGUUGCGGACAGUGUCUGGUGGGUAGUUUGACUGGGGCGGUCUCCUCCCAAAGCGUAACGGAGGAGCACGAAGGUUAGCUAAUCCUGGUCGGACAUCAGGAGGUUAGUGCAAUGGCAUAAGCUAGCUUGACUGCGAGCGUGACGGCGCGAGCAGGUGCGAAAGCAGGUCAUAGUGAUCCGGUGGUUCUGAAUGGAAGGGCCAUCGCUCAACGGAUAAAAGGUACUCCGGGGAUAACAGGCUGAUACCGCCCAAGAGUUCAUAUCGACGGCGGUGUUUGGCACCUCGAUGUCGGCUCAUCACAUCCUGGGGCUGAAGUAGGUCCCAAGGGUAUGGCUGUUCGCCAUUUAAAGUGGUACGCGAGCUGGGUUUAGAACGUCGUGAGACAGUUCGGUCCCUAUCUGCCGUGGGCGCUGGAGAAUUGAGGGGGGCUGCUCCUAGUACGAGAGGACCGGAGUGGACGCAUCACUGGUGUUCGGGUUGUCAUGCCAAUGGCACUGCCCGGUAGCUAAAUGCGGAAGAGAUAAGUGCUGAAAGCAUCUAAGCACGAAACUUGCCCCGAGAUGAGUUCUCCCUGAGACUUUAAGUCUCCUGAAGGAACGUUAAAGACGAUGACGUUGAUAGGCCGGGUGUGUAAGCGCAGCGAUGCGUUGAGCUAACCGGUACUAAUGAACCGU